rnacentral:rRNA from 1 species
UGGGGAAUAUUGGACAAUGGGGGCAAGCCCUGAUCCAGCCAUGCCGCGUGAGUGAUGAAGGCCUUCGGGUUGUAAAGCUCUUUUGGCGGGGAGCGAUGAUGACGGUACCCGCAGAAUAAGCCCCGCUAACUUCGUGCCAGCAGCCGCGGUAAGACGAAGGGGCGUAGCGUUGUUCGGAAUUACUGGGCGUAAAGCGCGUGUAGGCGGUUAUCCAAGUCGGGUGUGAAAGCCUUGAGCUCAACUCAAGAAAUGCACUCGAUACUGGGUGACUUGAGGACCGGAGAGGAUAGUGGAAUUCCCAGUGUAGUGGUGAAAUACGUAGAGAUUGGGAAGAACACCAGUGGCGAAGGCGGCUAUC